UGGGGAAUAUUGCACAAUGGGCGCAAGCCUGAUGCAGCCAUGCCGCGUGUAUGAAGAAGGCCUUCGGGUUGUAAAGUACUUUCAGCGGGGAGGAAGGCGGUGAGGUUAAUAACCUCAUCGAUUGACGUUACCCGCAGAAGAAGCACCGGCUAACUCCGUGCCAGCAGCCGCGGUAAUACGGAGGGUGCAAGCGUUAAUCGGAAUUACUGGGCGUAAAGCGCACGCAGGCGGUCUGUCAAGUCGGAUGUGAAAUCCUCGGGCUCAACCUGGGAACUGCAUCUGAUACUGGCAGGCUUGAGUCUCGUAGAGGGGGGUAGAAUUCCAGGUGUAGCGGUGAAAUGCGUAGAGAUCUGGAGGAAUACCGGUGGCGAAGGCGGCCCCCUGGACGAAGACUGACGCUCAGGUGCGAAAGCGUGGGGAGCAAACAGG
rnacentral:rRNA from 1 species